UUGAUCUCAUUUCUCAAAAUAAUCUCAUUGACCUUCCUCUUCAUGCCAGAUAUAUGCUUCGAGAAAUGAUCAAGCUGAACUGGUGAUAUGUCAUAUGAAUAGGGUCCCGAUUUCUCUGAAUCUUGAAUAUGGGGGGAUUAUGUCUGUUCUUUCUAGCCUAUGUCUGAUCAUGAGCUGAUUUGUUUGGAAUUGUUUGGUAUUUCAAUUGGUUCUUCCCCUUUUUGUUUACACAACUGGUGGCUAGUUCGGGAGGGAUUAUAGUGAAUGGGUGGUGGAAAGAAUGUGGAGUGGAAGGUUGGGCUAGAUAUCGGUUUAUGAAGAAGCUCCAAUAUAUCAAAGAUAAGCUAAAAGUCUGGAAUAAAGAAAUGUUUGGGCAAGAUAUAUUAAGAAAAGGAGAACUUUCAAGCUGUGAUUGGGUGUUUGGAUAGGAAGGGAGACACAUGCAUCUUGGAUGAGGCAUAAAGGGAGGAGAGAGAAGGCCUUGAAUUCGAUUACCUCUCCAUGCUUGUUAAUGAGUCUCCAUGUGGUUUCUUUUCAAGCUUUAGAGGUUUGAGGCAAGGACACCCUCUUUCUCCUUUUCUUUUCGCCAUUGUUGCAGAAAGUUAUAGUAUAUUGUUGAGUAGGGCUUCUGGAAUUUGUUUCAUAAAGGGCUUCACAGUUUGGCAACCUGAAGUUGUGAUUAAUCAUCUUUAAUUCACUGAUGAUAUGCUCAUUACGUGUGACUCUGCCAUUAAUCAGGUGAUUAGUUUGAAAAGGAUUCUCAUAUUUUUGGCAGUUGUGUUUGGACUCAAAGUUAAUGAGAGGGAAGUUGCUAUGGUAGGGGUGGCAAGUUUUGGGGGAAAUGUUCAAAUUCUUGCUGAGCAAAUGGAGCAUUGAAGGGUCUCACUUCUGAUGAAGUACCUUUGUCUCUCAUUAUGAGGGAAAGCCUCCACUCCUUCCUUUUGGAUCCUAUCAUGGAUAGGAUUGAGAAGAGAUUAUUUGGGUGGAAGAAAUUUUAUCUUUACUUGGGUGGGAGAUAACUUUAUCUAAUUGGCCCUUGUUAAUCACCCGUGUGUAUUUCAUGUCCUUGUUCAUGAUGCUGGGUAAGGUUGUUAGGAGAAUUGAGAAGCUUCAUAUAAUUUUUUUUGUUGGACGAGAAGGGAGAUGGGCCCAAAUUCCUCUUAGUUAAAUGGGAAGAUGUUCAAAAGCCUAAAGGAGGAGGUAAUGGAAUCGAAAACAAUUAGAUAAAAGAAUGCGGCUCAUCUUUGGAACUUGUGGUGGAAGUUUGGGGAGGAACAUUAAGUGCUAUGGAGGAAUGUCAUCUCGGUCACAAAUGUGGUGAAUCUGAUGGGGGUUGGAUCCCAGACUUCCUAAUAGAAAUGGAGGGUUAGAUGUUCGGAAAGGCAAAUUUCUUUUGCGGCAUCCAUUCGUUGUUGAUGGUUUGAAUCCUUAUGCCAGAGCCAGUGUUUCCUAUUAGAAAGGUGCUCGAUUUAUGGUUCGUAAAGACUGGUUGAGCUUCUAGAGUGACGUUUGGAUUGCAGAUUCCUCCUUUGCUACUUUUUCCUAUUCUUGUUUAGUUUAUCCGUGGGUAAAGAUGACAAAGGACGAUAAAAAAUUGGUUCUCAUAAUCAAUUCAGCAUAAGGUACUAUAAAAUAUCCAAGCUAGAAAUGCCAAGGAAUAUAAAGAAUUAGUUUUCAUUUUGUAGUAAGACUCUGGACAUUAGGAGAUCACCAACUGCUCUAAGGACUGUUUAACUGUAAUUUGGAGCAUGAACAAAAAAAAAAGGCACUGAAAUGAAAGUGGUUUCAAAUCUAGGUUCUGAAAUAUCCACACGUCUGGUGAUCCUAUUAAGGUAAGCUAUGUGUGACCCUAUUAACAGCUGAAUUCUUACCUAAUUUUAGAAUUAGAAUAACACAUUAUUUUAUUGAGAGUAUUUUUGGUUUCUAUGUUUCAUCAAAAUGCUAUUUUGGCAUUUCAGGCAACCAACGUCAGUUUCUUUUUGAAAAAAAAAGUUAAAAAGGUCGUAAAACCAAGAGAAUAUGACUCUUUUGACACCAGUUGAUGAGAACUUUUCUCUUUACCAAACUCAGACUAAAACAAGUUACACAACAUGAUUCUCGUGGGUAGAGAACAACACCAAAUUGAAUGGCAUGCUUCCUUCCCAUCACCAUGCAAUGCAUCAUUCUUACCGACUCAUGCUACUAUAAAUGUAACACACCCCUAUGCUUUUGCCUCACUGCUCGGCUUAGAUACAAUAUCUGAUUUCUUACUUUUGGGUGAAGCUAUAGUGGAACCAAGAAAUACAAAAUAGUUUGAAGUAGAUCGUCCAAUACCUGCACGUUUAGCAGCUCCUUUAGGUUCAGAGUAAGCUGUCAAGUAGAGGCUGUAGGAUAAGUCACGAUAUGUUCCAUACUUCAUUGUGUCACAGUCAAGUAUCUAGGCUCUCCAUUAGCCUUCAUUGGAACAUCUCUCAUCCAAUAUUUUCAUUAUCGACGAUGUCGGCGGAUAUAUCCUACGAUAUAUCUAGUAUUGUUUUAAUAUUGUUUUCGUAUUGCAUGAUAUAUCUAAAUACCACAGUUAUCACGAAAUAUUGCGACUAGUCCUUUACAAAAAAUACUUUAUAUCAGCAAUAUCUAUCAAUAUUGACAUAUUUCACAUGAACAUGUUGGAAGUCUGGGUUUCAGGGCAGAAAAAUUGAAAAAAAUCCAUCUACAUCUCUUUUUUUAAAGAUUUUUUUUUUUUCUCCUCUCCAAUUCUAAAUAGACCUAUUGUGGAUUUUGAUCCAUCCUUAUGAAUACGUUUGAAGAAAAAUACCAAUUUCGAGUCGAAAUCAAGAUCCAAGUCAAUUUGGGGCUGUUUUCUACCAUUUUUUCUUCUAUAAAUCAUAUUAAAAUAGUGUCAAAUGGUUACAAAUCUAUGAUUCUUCAUGCUUUGCAUGAAAAAUCAUGGAUUUGGGAAUUUGAUUGAUAAAAAGAAAUCAUGGAUUUGGAGCUUCAAUUUCGAGAAUUUGGAGAUGGGUUGAGUUGUAAAAAUUUGGGAAAAAUUGAAAUUUCCUAAUUUCUUUCAAAUCGGUUGCAAUCUUUGUGUCCAAACACAAAUCAAACAUGUAGGUAGCCAGAUCUGAUUCUUGGUAAUUUAGGAAUUUUUCGAAGCAAAAAUUUUUUUUAAUUAAAAAUGUUAAAUUUUUUUUUUUCAAAAUUCCAUUUCGAUCGGCAGUCAUUUGGCCCCCAUUUAAGGGUAUUCAGGAGUGUCUGAUGGAAUCAUCAUCACAUACACUCUAAUUUUGGGAUUUGGUAGAAGAUGGACCGAUUUGUAAAAAUUUUAAAUUUCCCCAAAAUUUCCCAAAUCAGCUGCAAUCUUACUGUCCAAACAUGAGGUCAAACAUGUCUGUAACCUAAUCUAGUGAUUCUUGGCAAUUUGGUGAUUUCUCGAUUUAAAAAAAAAAAAAAUUAAAAAAUGUUAGAAAAUAAUAUCUUUUCAAAAUUCCACUUCGACCAGUGGUCAAUUAGCUCCCAUUUCAGAGUAUUUAGGAGCGUUUAAUGAGAUCAUUGUUACAUACACACUCUAAUUUUGGGAUUUUGGGGAAGAUGAGUUGAUUUGUGGAAAAUUAGGAAAAAUUUGAAAAUUUCCUAAAAUUUCUCAAAUAGGAGAGGAUGAGCACCAGCGUUAUGUUAGAGAAUAACUUCACCGGUAUCAUUUUACUAUGACUUGGGCACAGUAUUGUAGGUUUGUGGAACAACAGUACUAUGCCCAUCCUCAUCGAGAUGGAGAUGUUGAUUUAGAGCUACCACGUAGCUCUAUGUAGGUCUUAGCCAUAACCACACAUUUUUCAUUGGCAUAUUGACGUAGGACCGAUGCAUGAACCAAAUAACAUGUGAGAUUAAGUAGCAGAAUUAAUACAAUUAACAAAAAAACACAAACAUUACCAUAAUCAUCACGAAUACCAUGAAAACAAAAAGAACAUCAUACAUAAUCCUAACCUAAGUUAUCAACAUCGAAACACAAGAUCAUUAAAUAAAAGAAAACUAGGAUCUAAUGGAUGUAGGGACAUUCAAUUAGUAUAAGGUAUAGUCUAUUUCAAAGUAGAGGGCCUAAUACAACAUAUGGUAAAAUUAGGGUUUUAGGAAAUUGAGAAAAAUCUAGGAAAGUUAAGGAUUUCUAGAUUUAGGGUUAGGGUUUUGGUAGAGAGAAAAUGGGGUUUUGAUUUAAGGGUGAAAGGAAGCCAAAAAGGAUAAGGUGCAGCUGUAUGGCCAACCCGGAAGGUUCACACGUUUGGCUGUACAGUCACACAUGUGGCGUAGGAUGGAUGGGUUAGGUCUCUUAGGGUUUGGGAUUGUAGAUAGGUAAAAGAAAGAUGUGUUUAGGAGAAGAUGAAUGCUUAGGAUGGGAGAAUCAAAGAAAUUGAAAAAAAUAACUUCAUGGAGGGGAAAUGAGAUGAUGAUGUGGGAAUAGAUGGAGACUUCGCACCUCCGUUGAUGAAGAUUAGCCUUACACGAAUCUCCCUUCCAAAUCACAUUUAAGUACUUCAAAUCUCAUGAAGAUGUAAGGAGAAGAGGAAAGCAAUAGCUUUUUUUCUCUCUCAAUUUUUUUAAUCACAAAAUCCAAUGAGGGAGAGUGUCAUACGCCCACCCUCUUUUAUAGCUCCAAGAAAGUUAAAAAAUUACAAUAAACACCUUGUUUUGUAAAUUUUGAUAAAAAUAAUUCUAGUCUAAUUAAAAUCAACUAAAAACACUCAUAAUGGUGUCCAAACAUGACAUAACCAAAACUAAAUCCUAUAAGCUAAUAAAUUCUAAGAAAAACUAGUGUGGACGAUCCACGAUUAAUGGCCCGAUGAUGUGAUCCAACGGCCCAAUCGUCACAUCCCUCCAAUCCAAUGGUCUGGAUCACUCCACAAAGCAUCCCAUGCACAUCUUCCCAGUGUGGGGUCUUUUAGAUGCUCGCAUAUGCACAUGGGGUCUUCAGCACGAUCACGGGUACUCGGCGAGCUACAAGAAAAUCGGUGCGGUCUGCUUCCUCCUCUGAUAUGUACACAAAGGUGCAUGUGAAGUGAUGUCCUCAUCACAUGUCUAGUUUUCUAUUUCUUCUUUUGUUUUUGAAUGCAUUGCUUGUGUUUCUAUACACGUGUUCUUACAUUUAUAAAUUAUAUGAAUUGACUUUGAAUAUAAUUGCAUCAGUUCAAUCGGACAACACAUAGAUUAAGACCCCAUACAAAGGGAACCUAUUAUUUUCUGAUGUUUUCAUUUAUAACUGUGUAUUGAUGUCUUUUUUAACAAUCUUUGAAGUUUCAUUGAAAAAUUCGACCAAUUUACCAAUGUUUCCUCAUGUUUUCCAACAACAACAAUAUAUUAUGCGAUACAACUGAUAUAUCCCAUGCGAUAACCAAUAUAUAUGUUGGCACAUGUGUGCAUGCAUGUAAUUGUGGCCACAUGGCCCACUUUGUUAUCCACGAAAAGGUAGCUGAACAAGUCUCCUGCACAACUUGUUGUGUAGGAGAACUAAUGGAAUGUGGUUAGUUUCUCCAUGGCAAUGGGGCAAUGGGCAUAAAGCCUCAACGGUAAUGUAUCCUAUGUGGAUAUAAAUACCGUAAUAACAUGAUACAAGAUUUGUAACAAUAAGAUGGGAAUGUUCAAGUAAAACUCUGGUGUGACGGUAAAAACUGUAUGCCGCGGCGAUCCAGUGACCAACGUCUCAUAAAGCCUCUUUUGACCGUUUAGCUUCACACCGGCUUCUUUCAAUGACGCUCUCCACCGAUCAUUAACAGUGCAACCUUCAAUGUAUCCAUAUCCCAAGGAUGUGAUACAUUAGGCGAUAACGAUACGGAAAACAUUGUUGCCAUCUAUGUAUUUACUUCACAUUUACUUUUAAGGAAGCAUAGUUGAUGAGGACAUCACAUCACGUACACCUUUGUGUAUGUAUUAGAAGAGGAGGCAGGCCACCCCGAUUUCUCUAUGGUUAGGAUAUCUUCCAUGUGACUUGGAAGGAAGAUCGGUGCGAAGCCUAUCUUCAUCAACGGAAGUGCGAGGCUUCCUUCUAUCCCCUCAUUCAUAUCUCUUCAUCAAUAAUCGAGGUAUUUUUUCAAGUUUCUUCUUUCAUUAUUUCUCCUUUAUCCAAAAUCCAUCAACAACCUUCCGAUUCUCCUCCUUUACACCUUUCUCGACAAGCCAAACAUUUAAAAACCCAAAACCAAACCCUACCUAGACAACACGUGUGAUCGUAUAGCCACACGUGUGAACCCAUAGGGUUGGCCAUACGGUCCCACCCCUUGUCCCUUUGGCCUUCCACUACCCCUACAAACCUUAAUUCCCUUCUCAUAAUACCUAAAUCCUUUAACUCCUUUAUUCAAUUCCCCACUUUAACCUUAAUUUCACCCUUUUCCCCAAACUUUCCUAACCCUAGCUUCAACCACACCUUAAUCUAGUAAACGCUGGGUGGUAUUAGACCUUCCUCUUUAAACUAGGUCUAACCCUAUGCUAUUUGGAUGUUUCUACAUGUAGAUCCUAGUUUCUCAUGUUAAAUGGUCUUGUAGGAUGAUGCUUGGCAACAUAGGCUUGAACUAUGCAUGGUUUCCUUUUUAGAGUCUUGAUAUUUGUGAUGAUGGUAGCAAGAUUUAUAGUUUUCAUUAAUUAAUUUAAUUUUGCUGAUUGAUUUCGCACAUUAUUUGAGUUCAUGCGUUGUUCCUACAUCAAUAGUCUUUCAGUUAGUGAGUGUAGCUUUUUUUUUUUUUUUUUCACACUCACACACACCCCACACAUACACCCACACACUCAUGCCGUAGUGGGAUUUCACCACCUAAGGGUACUCAAACCCUUGACCUGGUGUUGAAACUCUUGCGAGUGUACCACUGGGGCACGAGUAAGGAACUUAGUGAGUGUAGCUUGAGAAAUCAAAUUAUGAGCAUAUUUGUUCUAUAGUAGUAUGCAUCCUUUUUCUUUUCUUUUUUUUUUUUUGGAAAUUACUAAGUGAAAACAAUUAGUGGAAAACAAAUGUCUACCAUGCAUUCACAUCAAAUUGUGUUUGUAGAUUACCAUGCCUUCACAUUAAAUUAUGUUUGUAGAUAUAGUUCAAGAAAUGCUUAUUCAUUCCAAGUUCUUUUCAUGUGCAUAUACUGUAUUGAUGUAACUUUCCAUUCAUACAAUGGAAUUUUCACCUGAUGCCGACAUGAUCUUUUUGGGUGGCUGUUUAUUGAAAUUCACGUG